UAUUGCAAAAUGGGUGAAACCCUGAUGCAUCGACGCCGCGUGAGCGAUGAAGGCGUUCGGGUCGUAAAGAUCUGUCCUCAAGGAAGAUAAUGACGGUACUUGAGGAGGAAGCCCCGGCUAACUACGUGCCAGCAGCCGCGGUAAUACGUAGGGGGCUAGCGUUAUCCGGAAUUACUGGGCGUAAAGGGUGCGUAGGUGGUUUCUUAAGUCAGAGGUGAGAGGCUACGGCUCAACCGUAGUAAGCCUUUGAAACUGGGGAACUUGAGUGCAGGAGAGGAGAGUGGAAUUCCUAGUGUAGCGGUGAAAUGCGUAGAUAUUAGGAGGAACACCAGUUGCGAAGGCGGCUCUCUGGACUGUAACUGACACUGAGGCACGAAAGCGUGGGGAGCAAACAGG
rnacentral:rRNA from 1 species